rnacentral:rRNA from 1 species
AGUGAACGCUGGCGGUAGGCCUAACACAUGCAAGUCGAACGGCAGCACAGUAAGAGCUUGCUCUUACGGGUGGCGAGUGGCGGACGGGUGAGGAAUACAUCGGAAUCUACUUUUUCGUGGGGGAUAACGUAGGGAAACUUACGCUAAUACCGCAUACGACCUACGGGUGAAAGCAGGGGAUCUUCGGACCUUGCGCGAUUGAAUGAGCCGAUGUCGGAUUAGCUAGUUGGCGGGGUAAAGGCCCACCAAGGCGACGAUCCGUAGCUGGUCUGAGAGGAUGAUCAGCCACACUGGAACUGAGACACGGUCCAGACCCCUACGGGAGGCAGCAGUGGGGAAUAUUGGACAAUGGGCGCAAGCCUGAUCCAGCCAUACCGCGUGGGUGAAGAAGGCCUUCGGGUUGUAAAGCCCUUUGUUGGGAAAGAAAAGCAGCAGGUUAAUACCCCGCUGUUCUGACGGUACCCAAAGAAUAAGCACCGGCUAACUUCGUG